rnacentral:rRNA from 1 species
AAAAGCUCGCCAAAAAAAAUUCAUGUGAAUAGUUUAUCGAAACCCUAGGAUUCAGAAUAUGGGGAAGUAUCUGUGGAUUGGGGUACUGCUCCUUUUAUGGGGGUCAUAGGGGAUUUAUUCGCUAUGUUAUUAUCUAUCAUUUCAUAAAUUCAUAAUUCUUCUAUUUUAUUGGAUGGAAUUUUCACUAGUAUUCAAGGGGGGCUAUUCACAUGGCUCGGACCCCAGUCACAUGCAUACAAUUUUUGGAACCGUGUGCUUGAGCGGGUUGGCGAGGGGGGGAGCGGGGAGAGUCCAUCACUGACCACAGGAAAACAUCAACGAUGUUAA